GUCAUAUGCUUGUCUCAAAGAUUAAGCCAUGCAUGUCUCAGUACAAGCCAAAUUAAGGUGAAACCGCGAAAGGCUCAUUAAAUCAGUUAUGGUUCCUUAGAUCGUACCCACAAUUACUUGGAUAACUGUGGUAAUUCUAGAGCUAAUACAUGCAAACAGAGCUCCGACCGGAGACGGAAGGAGUGCUUUUAUUAUAUCAAAACCAAUCGGUGGCGGGUUCGCUCGCUAUCGUACAACUUGGCGACUCUGAAUAACUUUACGCUGAUCGCACGGUCAUCGCACCGGCGACGCAUCUUUCAAAUGUCUGCCUUAUCAACUGUCGAUGGUAGGUCCCGCGCCUACCAUGGUCGUAACGGGUAACGGGGAAUCAGGGUUCGAUUCCGGAGAGGGAGCCUGAGAAACGGCUACCACAUCCAAGGAAGGCAGCAGGCGCGCAAAUUACCCACUCCCGGCACGGGGAGGUAGUGACGAAAAAUAACGAUACGGGACUCAUCCGAGGCCCCGUAAUCGGAAUGAGUACACUCUAAACCCUUUAACGAGGAUCAAUUGGAGGGCAAGUCUGGUGCCAGCAGCCGCGG
rnacentral:rRNA from 1 species